rnacentral:rRNA from 1 species
GCCUGAUCCAGCCAUGCCGCGUGUGUGAAGAAGGUCUUCGGAUUGUAAAGCACUUUAAGUUGGGAGGAAGGGCAUUAACCUAAUACGUUAGUGUUUUGACGUUACCGACAGAAUAAGCACCGGCUAACUCUGUGCCAGCAGCCGCGGUAAUA